CUCUGGAUGAAAUUUCGCUAUUAUAACGAAGUACCCGAAGGAACUGAGAUAUAGGUAAUGCAUCCUUGAGGUGUUGAGGAUGAAAACUAGUCGCCAACAAAAGCGUGUUCCGAUCUGUCUGUUUUCUGUAUAAUGUAUAGCAUAAUGUGCAUUUCUCUGGAUGUUUAUAUACUUGAACAUCUAAAAAUUGUAUAGAUGUUUCAUGCCACGAAGGUGUAAGAGUAAUAGGUACUGGUG